rnacentral:miRNA from 1 species
UAGCCCCCAGCUUGUUUGUACUGCA